CUUGCAGGUGUAGACGCACGCUGCUGCUUGGGCUCCAUGUGCGGACAUGACAAAGAAAGAAAAGAAGUGCGGCUGGGAUGCACUACGUAGCAUGACGCGGAGAGAAAGUGGCUUGAAGCACGAUCACCGGAUGCAGAAAAUCCAAAGAAGGACAUGCGCGGAAGAAAAAAAAUGCAAGAGGCAGUACACGUGCAGCUUGAAGCGGUACGCUGGAGCAAAAAUAAGGGGCGCA
rnacentral:lncRNA from 1 species